rnacentral:tRNA from 1 species
GGGUGGAGCAGUGGUAGCUCGUUGGGCUCAUAACCCAAAGGUCGUAGGUUCGAAUCCUGCCCCCG